GGCGGCGGUGGCCUAGUGGCUAACGCAUUUGCUUUUGAAACUAGAGGUCGUGGGUUCAAUUCCUUCAGUGGGCA